GUCUAGAUAGCUUAUAAUAGAGCAUAGCACUGAAGAUGCUAGGGAAACCUCAGGUUUCUAGAUA
rnacentral:tRNA from 1 species